CGAGUGAUGAGUGUCCAUUAAUGUUGCAGUUAGCGAAGUCUCUUGUCAUUGAGAACGGAUAUUCAUAUUUGGUAUUAUUUGAUUCAAAUCCAAAAAAUUUUAGAUCUAAGAGGUAUUAGAUCUAUCUCAGCUUUGAGAAGUUUGGGAUCUUUGAAUUUGUAGAAAUUUGGGUUCCUUAGUGGUUGCUCACAUAGAUGAAUAAUCUUUUUUGAGAUUAAUAUGAGAAUGGUGGUUGAAAUGGAAGAAGAACAAAGUAAUUUAAGG
rnacentral:misc_RNA from 1 species